rnacentral:rRNA from 1 species
AACGUAGGACGCAAGCGUUAUCCGGAGUUACUGGGCGUAAAGGGUGCGUAGGCGGUUGUUUAAGUCUGUUGUGAAAUCCCCGGGCUCAACCUGGGAAUGGCAAUGGAUACUGGGCAGCUAGAGUGUGUCAGAGGAUGGUGGAAUUCCCGGUGUAGCGGUGAAAUGCGUAGAGAUCGGGAGGAACAUCAGUGGCGAAGGCGGCCAUCUGGGACAACACUGACGCUGAAGCACGAAAGCGUGGGGAGCAAACAGG